rnacentral:rRNA from 1 species
CAGUAGCCGCGGGAAUACCGAGGGUGCGAGCGUUAAUCGGAUUUACUGGGCGUAAAGCGUGCGUAGGCGGCUUCUUAAGUCGGAUGUGAAAUCCCUGAGCUUAACUUAGGAAUUGCAUUCGAUACUGGGAAGCUAGAGUAUGGGAGAGGAUGGUAGAAUUCCAGGUGUAGCGGUGAAAUGCGUAGAGAUCUGGAGGAAUACCGAUGGCGAAGGCAGCCAUCUGGCCUAAUACUGACGCUGAGGUACGAAAGCAUGGGGAGCAAACAGGAUUAGAUACCACUGUAGUCCCUGUCUCUUAUAC